GUCAAGUCGCGAUUAGACGCAGUACUGAUUAGAUGAGAUGAGCUGGACAUGGAGAAAGGGAAAGAGAGACAGCUGGACAGGGAGACUGAGAGAUAGAGUUGGAAAGGGAGCCUGAUCCUCAGAAUAAGCUCCAAGCGUCAGAGCUCAUGUAGCACAGGCACAUGCUGGAGAAUUCAGGGGACAGUCCAAGGAAAUCAGAACCACUCCUUUCUUGUUCGCUCAACUGGGAAUGAACAGCAAAAUGGACUUAUUAAAGCAAAAGCACUCCAGGUUGUCUGGAACACCACAUGCGUUGUGUAGAAGAUCAAUAUAUUCCUGCUGUGAAUCCGGAAUGGGUCUCUCCAGGAUAAACAAACAAAACAAGCAACGAAAUACACGAAGAGAGAAAUCAGAUAUGAAUUGCCUUGUCUAAUAACUGUACGCAGUACAAUCAAACAACGCACUGCUAGUCUCAACGCUUUUAACUCCAAAUUAUCAUUAGAGCCAAGGACAAACAAACAACUCGAGACAGUUCAUUUAGGGGAUUGUAAGCAGUUUAUUUAGUAGAAUUUGAAUUAUUAAACUUAAAAAUGUGAAAAGGAUGAUUAAU